rnacentral:tmRNA from 1 species
GGGGGCGAAAUAGGAUCGACGAGGGCGUAAAGGGCGUGUUUUUUCUCGGUAUGGUUCCGCCGACAUCGGGCCAAUGCAAUAGUUGCCAACGACAACUUUGCUCCGGUUGCUCAGGCUGCGUAACGCAGUUUGAAAGACCAUCUUAAAGUCCUAGCGGGUUAAGCUCCGCUAGGCGGGGUUCGGAGGCACCUGGCAACAGAAGCCUCCACUU